rnacentral:rRNA from 1 species
AUUGAACGCUGGCGGCAGGCUUAACACAUGACAGUCGAACGAGUGGCGGACGGGUGAGUAAUGCUUGGGAAUCUAGAUUAGUGAGGGGGAUAACUACUGGAAACUGUAGCUAAUACCGCGUCACAUAGGCUGAGCCCAAGUGGGAUUAGGUAGUUGGUGAGGUAAAGGCUAACAAAGCAGACGAUCUCUAGCUGGUCUGAGAGGAGAACCAGCCACACGGGGACUGAGACACGGCCCAGACUCCGACGGGAGGCAGCAGGGGGGAAUAUUGCGCAAUGGGGGCAACCUGACGCAGCCAUGCCGCGUGAAUGAAGAAGGCCUUCGGGUUGUAAAGUUCUUUCGGUAGCGAGGCGUUAACUACAGAAGAAGCACCGGCUAACUCCGUGCCAGCAGCCGCGGUAAUAC